AUGAAGCCUUGGUGGUGUGUUAUCCCAUGGGUCAACAUUUGUAUAAAAGGUGCUGGCAGGUUUUCUCACCCCAGAAUAACAUUAGGCCGAUCAAGGAUGUGGAUGCUCUUCUUUUGGAGUGCCUUGUUGGGGGCGUUGGGGUCAGAGGAAAUGCCCUCUGGAGCAGCUCAGCAGCUUCAGGCCCUCCACUGCCCUCCCUGCGAGCAGAUCCACUGCUCCUCCCGGCGGGCACUGAAGCUCCAGUGUAAAGGUGGUGUCACGACAGGCGUCUGUGGCUGCUGCCCUGUCUGUGCCAGAACAGAGGGGGAGACCUGUGGAGGAACGUGGGACUAUCUGGGCAAGUGUGAUGAGGGACUGGUGUGUGUUUACCAGGACUCAGCAACUGACAAAGCAGAUGCAGAGCGCAAAGGGAUCUGUGAAGCAGUGAUUGAACCCCUCGAUCCAGAGAGCUGUCACCCAGAGUGCACCAAGGAAUACUGUCAGGCCAACCCCUCUGAAAUCUGCUCUGCAAGGUUUGUGUCUCUGGAUAAGACGACGUGCCAGGGCUCCUGCCAACACACCUCCUGUUCAAGCUGUCUGCUGCUGAAACCCCCAUCAUGCCCUCAGACCUGCACCCACUCUGAUUCUUCCUGUCUACACCGCUUUGGGAAGUGUGUGCACAAUCACCUGACAGGGGCUCAUAAUCCUGUAUGCCACAACAACCUACAGAAUACUUCUGAGGGGCACUUUCUGUGUUUGGUCCCAGCUUGUCCAGACGCAUCGACGUAACUCCCAGUGUAACAAGAGGAAACCCAGAGGAGAACUAGCUCAUGUAGCAACAUGGAAAAAAGGCAGCUAUGUGUAUAACUUGAACAUUCUUCACCUAACAAUCACAUUUUGUAUGCAAUGUAAACCUGAAUAAAAACGUGACUUUUUAUGUAUUUCUAAAACAUGACAAAUAAAAUACCAUUUAAAUACUGUACUUUCUCUGAUUUGAUUCAUUUAAUGGGAACAAUGAUGAUUAAUCUGGAUCUAUUCCAGUUAUUAUACUAUGCAUUCACUUGAUGUACAUUGUUAUCAGUGAGCUUCUGUGGUGAGUUUUAGCAUUUGUCUUCACAUAGUUUAUUGUAUGUUGAGUGUAUCGUACGUUUAAGCCCGAGUGUGGUCAAUGUUUUACCUGGCUGAAAGACAAAUGUCCCCUCAUUCACAAGUGUACCUGCGGGUAAAUGAUGAAAACACUUUAAAAGGAUUAACUGUUCUCCUCCAGAGAUCUAAGCACUCUCUAUUGAUAAUUAUUACACUCAAUUUCUUCCACAAUGCCUAAUAAAAAGUAGUGAAUAGAAGAUGGUAAUUAAUGAAGCACUAACUAACAUGAUGCUUUGCACAUUACCUGCAUAAUUAGAAACAGUUUAUAGUGGUGUUGCUGUAGGGAUGGCAAUAUUGGUCUGUCGGUUGGUCCAUCACAUUGCUGCAGACUGAAAUACACUAACAACUACAGGAUGGAUUUUCAUUAAAUCAAGUUGAGACUUUCAUGUCAACCCUUAGAAUGAAUCCUCUGACCUGUCUUCUAGCAGCUUCAUCAGGUCCAAAUGUUAAUUUGUCCAAUACUUUGGUUUAUGACCAGGAAAACUAAUGACAUUCCCAUUAGAGCUGCAACAAUUAGUCGAUUUGUUGUCAACUUUUAAAUUACUUGCCAACUACUUUCACAAUAAUUGAUCAAGUUGUUGUUUUUUAUAAAUAAAAACCUUAAAUGUGAAUAUUUUCUGGUUUCUUUACUUCUCGAUGUCAGUUAACUGAGUAUAUUGGGGUUGUAGAUAAAACAAGACAUUUGAGGAUGUCAUCUUGGAGUUUGGGAAACAUUGUCCACCAUUUUCUGACUUUUUAUAGACCAAACAACUAAUCGAUUAAUCAAGAAAAUAACCGGCAGAUUAAUAGAGAAUGAAGAUAAUCGUUAAUUGUAGCCCCAAUUCCCAUCAGCCUCAGCUGUACUUUGUGUUCAGUGCAGAAAAUGUUGGCAUACCAACAAGCUCAACUACGAUGCUGAAUAAGGUUUUACCCUCUUAACAUCAGCAUGUUAACAGUCAUUGUGAGCAUGUUAGCAUGGUGGUUAGUAUUUAGCUCAAAGCAUCGUCAUGCUGAAGUACAGCCUCACAGAGCUGCAGACUCUUCUUGUUCUUAAGUGUAAUCUUCUAAAAUAACUUUAUAGUGAAUAUUGAACCAUGAAUGAGUGAAUGGGUGAGGGUACCUAGAGUAAGUAGAAACAAUGCAGCAAGUUUUUAAAUGAAGUGGAAUAAUACAGGUACAACAAUGUAGAAUAUCAAAAGGUCGUAUCAGUGCAGCACUGUGUCUCUUCUGUUUUAAUUGUUCCCAUUUUUUGUGAGUUUUUCAGGUUCACAGGAGACGUGAAGCGUCUUGAGUCCCCUCUGCCAUCGCUGCCCCCCUGACAGUUGAUGGUUAUUGAAUAACAGACGGUUUAUGAGGCAGCAAUAAUGAAGCUUGUACAGAAAGGGAAUAAAGUGUGGACCAACAAUGGACAGUUUGUUCUGUGUCCUUCAAAUGUGAGCCGUUUCUGAAGAGAAGCAGUUUAUCUUAAGGAUUUCGCAAGGAGUCGGUUUUUAUACCAAAACAAAGGACUGCGUUUUCUUUCAUCUUCUUUUAACUUCAGUCAGUUGCAUCAAUAUAAUAGUGUGAUAUCUAAAUAAUAUCUGGUGUUUAAUCAGACAGGAGGGAAGGAGGUGCAGCUCACUGUCCAAUUUUGUUUAAAAACAAAUUGAAGAAAAUGGCAGAGGAGGAAAACAUGAGCAAAUGAAUGAGAAAUAGCUCUUGUGUUGUUAGUAUUGUACGAGUAAUUAUGCUUAAAUUAAUGAAAUCAUUGUUAAAGGUACUUUAAAAAGGUAAUUUCUGAAUCUAGUACUCCAUCAUUAAAGUUAUUAAAUUGUCUUCUUACAAGGUUAUUUGUCAAACCACAAACAACUAUCCAAAAUCUAUUCCUUUUGUACAUUUUGUGUGCUCCUAACUGGAUACACAUCAGUAUAUCAGGUAUCUAUUAGAACGACGGGCUCUGCCACCAAAGCAGGCCGCCUCUGUUAUCAAUCCCAUAUAGCCGUCUCACUUUUUUUUUUUAACUGAUAAAAACAACGGAUAACAAAGGACUGUCUGCCUGCCAGCUGUAAUAAAUGUGCCCCUGUCAGACAGACGGAACCCAAGUUUAAAUACAACACAAAACCUGGGAACAAUAGAAAAGCACAAGAGAUUACAGUAAAGGAGUGACCUUCAGGAAGAUUUGGAUGUAUGGGAAGCAGCUGCAGACAUUUCGACAUGAUUACUUUCAGCAGGUCUGAAUAAUGUGUGAUAUUAGAGAUCUUAGACAAGCCUGACAAUCAUUUAAAAUCAACAUAAAAGAUUUUUCAGUCAACUUCAGUACAAACUAAACUCACUCAAACCCUUGAAACAAUUUAAAGCAAAAGUACAAUUUUAUUAGUGUCAAAAAUUGUAACAAAUUUUAUCAACCUGUUGCCUUUAAGAGGAUAUACAACGUACUUCCUUUACCGCUAUAAGGAUAUAAAAUCAUUUUAUGUAUAAUAAAUGAGGUUGUCAGUGGCCUCUCUGGGAUUCAUCAUUAUAAAUACAGUAUGUCAGCACUGUGGCCACCUCAUAUAUUUUUUCUUCAUUAAGCCUAAUUAUUUUAUUCAAUAGCUUAAAGUUACAACUAAAUCAUGAGUUAUAAAAAGGUCCCUUCCCAUUUUUCCCUAAAUCUGAGUGAUACUAAGUCACACCAUGAGAAAGUAACCAUUUAAAUUGGAAUAUAGUCAUAUUAGUGCCUGAUUAACAGACGGACAUUUAUAAGUCAAAUAUAAUCUGUUAAUGUGCUAGAAAUCCUCAGUACUUAAGACCUAACAAAAAGACAUCUUAACGUUUGACUCCAUGCUUUGCAGUUAUUUCAUUUUUCAUUGUCUACUCCCCCCCCCCCCUUUGGUUAGUACGACAGUGCCUUUCAGAGGACUAAAACCACACAGCAACAGAACUUAUCUACAAAACAGAACUUUACUAAACCAUACAAAUUACAGAUGGAACAUUGCAUAACAUUUUUAAGAUGCAGAAUGGUCUUAUUACCUAUUUUAACAAAAUGAAUACACAAUAGGAUGCCAAUAGCUGCUAUUUGAAAAGAUAUGUUAUCUUGGAAUAACAAUAAUUAUAGUUAUUUGUACAAAUAAAGAAAAUAACGAUUGUAGAGAGAAAACAGUAUAAAAGGUGCAUAAAACUUUUAUCUUUGCUCGGGCCUCCAGUCAGUCUCUGAUCAGGAAGGCACUGUGGAUAAUGAACAU
rnacentral:lncRNA from 15 species